AUUACAAAAUAUCAAAAAUUGUCUUAACAUUUGAUAUUCGAGAAGAUGAAAAGAAAUGUAGAACUAUAAAUUUGUUGAGCAAACCAACAAAUGGCUUCAUGAUUAAAUUAUGGGCAUACUUUCGAAUGAACACGCUAAAUAUACGAUACGACUGCAGGUUAGUCACACAAUCUACAAAUACUUACAAACUUGGUUUGUUUAUAUACAUGUAUGGUGUAUCCAUAUUAUUUAUGUAUAGAUUAAAACUAAGUAAAAACAAUUUCCGAAUUCCAACACGUACCCAUAAAACGAUAAAGCGUCAUUCUCAUGGCACCAAAUAUUAAUAUCCAAGGAACCAAUAAAAUAUAAAGGAAAAAAAGUAGAGCUUUGUAAAUUGAUCAAGACACUCUAUUUAUUAUGAUCAAAAGAAAACAGAAGUUAUGCAAAAGGAAUGAUUUUUUUCUUACAGAGGUAUUCCCGAUUUUACCGAGAUUUGCGACUAGUUUUUCUUGGGCUUUCGGGGACAACAAAUUUAGGUAGAAUUUGUUUUUCCACCUCUUGUUCCUCUUCUUCAGAAAGCAUUUCAUCUUCCGGGAUGACAAAGUCAUGAUCAAUGUGACUUUUUCUAGGUGAUAAUUCUGCAUUUGGCGACAAAGAAGCUUCCAAAUUGCUUUCAUCAAACGCAUCGGCAUUUGCUUCCAAAUCAUUGUCCAUGUCAUCAUUUUCUGCUUCAUCAACUACCUCUAUAUCGUAGCCUGCUUCAUCCACAUCCUCAUCGAUGUAAUCGUUUUCCUCCUCUUCUUCUCCAUCUUCACUCGAAAAAUCAAGUCGACGUUGCCUCAUCUCUUCCUGAGAUAAAACCAUAUUUAAUUUUCCGGACAAAGAAAAAAUUUUAGUCAUUAAAUGAGCACUUUGUACAAGCUUUUCAUGUAACUGAACAAGUGAAUCCUGCAAAUCCAUGACGGUGGUCAAAUAUCCACCAUGUGUAACAAUAAUCCAAUGCAACCAAAUCGCAAGGGAUGGCUGCAUAUUUAUCAACAUGGCUGGGAUUAAAGUUCUAGCUAAAUCAGCCGCAAUAGUACCAUCCAUAUUGCGAACAGUGUUGGAUACAACACCAACAUCAGAGCAAUUCAAGCAUUGCUCCAGCAAAUCUUUCGAAUCUGCAUUUUCUUCAAAUUUGAUAAUAUUACCGGUUGUGGCAGCCAUGGUUGCCUUUCUACCGCAAUUUUACCUCCAACUGGUGGUGGGUUGAGGAUAGAAAUUUGGUGAAUACAAACUGUGCACUACUCUCAAAAUUUUACUCUCGUACAAUUCGAACUUCGCUACUUUAGCAAUAUUCCAAUAAUUUGAUAAAUGAAGAAAUUAUAGAUUACACUUUGUUAAGCCAUAUUAAACACAUGUACAAAAAAGAACAAGACUAAUCUAAUAAUGUAUAAAGGGAAUUUGUAUUAUACAGCGACCUAUCGGGUGUUAAAAAGAAAAGACGAAAGAGUGACAUGAAAAAAAUCUCGCUUGACAAACAGACAUCUCAAACAGGGUUUAUAAAUGGCUAUAUUACAGCUAGAAACCUUCCAAAAAAAAAAAGGACCACAAUAAUAGAAACUCCCGAAGCAAAAAAAAAAUCAUUAAUGACUUUCAUAUGCAAAUUUAAAAAACUCAAAAGUAUCGUUGUUGAAGAAGAUACGAAAGUAGUGAAUAGCAAUUAGGGAAAGGAAAAAUUCAAAGUCGUAAGGAAGUCUUCAAGAUUGAUUGCCUCACAAUGAAUGCCAUUAAAU